rnacentral:rRNA from 1 species
GACGAACGCUGGCGGCGUGCUUAACACAUGCAAGUCGAACGGUGAAGCGCCUUCCUUUUUGGUGGGUGUGGAUGAGUGGCGAACGGGUGAGUAACACGUGAGUAACCUGCCCCCUUCUUCUGGAUAACCGCAUGAAAGUGUGGCUAAUACGGGAUAUUCUGGGUCUGUCGCAUGAUGGGUCUGGGAAAGAUAUUGUUUCGGUGGGGGAUGGGCUCGCGGCCUAUCAGCUUAUUGGUGGGGUGAUGGCCUACCAAGGCGGUGACGGGUAGCCGGCCUGAGAGGGUGGACGGUCACACUGGGACUGAGACACGGCCCAGACUCCUACGGGAGGCAGCAGUGGGGAAUAGUGCACAAUGGGCGCAAGCCUGAUGCAGCGACGCCGCGUGAGGGAUGGAGGCCUUCGGGUUGUGAACCUCUUUCGCCAGUGAAGCAGGCCUGCCUCGUUUGUGGGUGGGUUGACGGUAGCUGGAUAAGAAGCGCCGGCUAACUACGUG